GACGAACGCUGGCGGAGGGAGGAAGAUAGGGAAGUGGAAUGGAAAGGCCCUGCUUUUGUGGGGUGCUCGAGUGGCGAACGGGUGAGUAACACGUGAGUAACCUGCCCUUGACUUUGGGAUAACUUCAGGAAACUGGGGCUAAUACCGGAUAGGAGCUCCUGCUGCAUGGUGGGUGUUGGAAAGUUUCGGCGGUUGGGGAUGGACUCGCGGCUUAUCAGCUUGUUGGUGGGGUAGUGGCUUACCAAGGCUUUGACGGGUAGCCGGCCUGAGAGGGUGACCGGCCACAUUGGGACUGAGAGACGGCCCAGACUCCGACGGGAGGCAGCAGUGGGGAAUAUUGCACAAUGGGCGGAAGCCUGAUGCAGCAACGCCGCGUGCGGGAUGACGGCAUUCGGGUUGUAAACCGCUUUCGCCUGUGACGAAGCGUGAGUGAGGGUAAUGGGUAAAGAAGCACCGGCUGACUACGUA
rnacentral:rRNA from 1 species